AGCGAACGCUGGCGGCAUGCCUAACACAUGCAAGUCGCACGGGGGGGCUUCGGCCUCCCAGUGGCGGACGGGUGAGGAACGCGUAGGGACCUGUCGAGGGGUGGGGGAUAACCGCGGGAAACUGCGGCUAAUACCGCAUGACGCCGCGGCGUGACAGCCGGGGCCAAAGGCGAAAGCCGCCCGCCGAGGGGCCUGCGUCCGAUUAGCUGGUUGGCGAGGUAGCGGCCCACCAAGGCGUCGAUCGGUAGCUGGUCUGAGAGGGUGAUCAGCCACACCGGGACUGAGACACGGCCCGGACUCCUACGGGAGGCAGCAGUGGGGAAUAUUGGACAAUGGGCGCAAGCCUGAUCCAGCAAUGCCGCGUGGGUGAAGAAGGUCCUCGGAUUGUAAAGCCCUUUCGGCGGGGACGAUGGUGACGGUACCCGCAGAAGAAGCCCCGGCUAACUUCGUG
rnacentral:rRNA from 1 species